rnacentral:lncRNA from 1 species
GGGUCCGGAACGCGGUCGGAGCCUACAGUUAUUUUUGUCCCGUUCGGCCGCGCUGACGCUCUUUCACGAGGCCAUCGCGGACGUUUCCUUGUGAGCUCGGUUUAAGGAAAUGUUUGCGCACGGAGCACUUUCCCACAGCUGUGGGACAAUGCACCAUCCUCUGCCAAGGAUCACUUUUGCCAUCCUCGUCUUUCCUGUAGCUGGAGGUGGGCCUGGAGGCCAGCCAGGCCCGCGCUGCCAAGUCGCCUCCGUUGAUUAUUAUCUGGAUGCGUUUGAUUCAUAUCUGACGGAGCGAGAGGCUGUGCGUGGCCGGCAGGAGAUGCCCGUGUCCAGAGGCCCGCUGUGCCGGCAGGGUCCCGGGGCGCAGGGGGUCGUGGCCGGGCCUGGGCCGGGUGGCGUGAGUGUCUGUGCUGGGCUAGGCCGGGGCCGUGUGAACCGGCCUCCAGGCUCUGCUCCCGGCUCUUUGAAGCCCUUCCAGGUGGCCCGGCUCGGGACACCCCCUGAGGACUUUCACAUUUCCAGUUCAUCCAGAUCCACCAGGCAAAGUCAAACUGUCCAGUUCCCCCGGGGCCUCUGGCCCAGCCGCCCAGGGAGGCCUCCGUGGGAAGGCGCCUCUGGACGAGUCUCUGAGCCCGACCGAGCUUCCUGCCUCCAGUGGGGCCGGGCCUCCCUCUCACGGUCUUCCCACUCGGGGCCACGCAGAGGCUGCAGCUCCCAGGCCAGCCCUCGCCCACCGAGUGGCCAGGGCGGGGACAGUGGCCGCGUCUGGCUAUGUAGGGGCCCGGCCACAGUAAGGGCCUUCAUCCAGGAGCGAUGUCCGUGGUGGCCCCGAAAAGAUACGUCCCGGCCCCUGGCACCUGUGACUGUGACCUUAUUUGGAGAAAAGGGUCUUUGCAGAUGUAAUCAAGGGAUCGCAAGAUGCGAUCCUCUUGGAAUCUCCGCGUGGGCCCUAAAUCCAGGGACAGGUGUCCUUACAAGACACAGAAGAGGAGAGGACAUGGAGAUGAGGAGGAGCAGGUCGUGUGAAGAUGAGGCAGAGACGGGAGUGGUGCAGCCGCCACCAGGUGAGGAGGGACCCUCCCCUGGAGGCUUUGCAGGGAUCCUGGCCCUCGACGCCUUGAUCUUGGGCUUCUGGCCUCCAGAACCAGAGCAGAUCAGUUUCUCUUGUUCCGAGCCACCCAGGCUGUGGCCAUUUGUUUCAGCGGCCCCAGGACCCUUGCACGUACUCUUUCUGCCUGACCCGCCCUCCUCACUGUCUGCAUCUUUCAGAUCACAGCUCAGCUCCACUUCCCAAGAGAGGGGCUCCCUGAUGCCCGUCUGUGUGCCCUCCUGUCUCUUGGGGAGCCCCCCCCAACGACCUGCCAUCGUGCAUUUACUGAUCAGUGUGUAG